AUGUUCCACAACAUCAUCAAGCAGAGUGGUCGACCACCUGCAUUAGCACAAGCGGCGUUGCUCCAUCGACGCCACCACACCGCCCCAUGGCGUGGGGAGUUCUCGGCCUCAACUCAUGGACGGCCCCGCAACAACAUCAAGAUCAAUGUACAACCCCCUGGCAUCCGUCUCCCUCGGCGCUACUUCAGCACUCCGGCCCCAUCGAGAUCUGUUAGUUACUUUUGGUUUUUGUGCAAGGUCACGGCAGCAGCAGCUUUCAUCAACAUCAUGUGGUCGUUUGUCUACCACACCUAUCUCGUUCAGAUUCCGUACAUCAGCCGCACCCCCAUCUUUCAGCUUGAGACUGUGCCCUAUACCAACCGGAUUCAUUUUGUCAUUCGCUCCCCCCUAGACGACCGCGAGUAUGCGGAGUCUUGUUUUGCUUUUGUCAGGAAGAAUCACUCCUCCAAGUUCCUUAGCCCGCUCCACCCCGACAGUGUCCGUGUCAAUCUUAUCACAGCGCAACUUCUCCGUGCUGUUCAGCGUGGCCUUGACAUCAAGAACCGUGAUGUGGCCUUGAUUCAUGAAUCCUCUUGCAAAGAUGUGAGCUUGGAUGCCAGGCAUGCAAUUGAGAGCAAGAAACAAGGCAAGUUAUGCAAAUCACAAUCACAAACAGCGCACCUUGAUGGGUUAGCCUGGGAGGUGAUUGUUGUUAAAAAUGAUAGGCAUGUUGGUGCAAUGUCGUGGCCCCAUGGCAAGAUUAUAGUGUUCACUGGAUUGCUCAUCCAUUUGAAGACUGAUGCUGAAAUUGCUACUGCUCUUUCGCAUGAUAUUGCACACGUGGUUGCCAGGCACUCAUCAGAGUCAAUCGUCUACAAGAAGUGGUUUCCUUUCCCCCUCAUGGUGCACUUCCUAAGAAGGAUGGAGAUAGAGGCAGAUCGCAUGGGAAUGCUGAUGAUGGCUGCUGCUGGUUUCGAUCCACGCAUAGUCCCUGUGGCUGUUGAGAAGCUAGUAGGGAAUGACAUAUAUCAUCCUUCGGGGAAGAAAAGAGCACAGCUUUUAUCUAGGGCAAAGGUCAUGGAUGAGGCAUUGGAAUUAUAUAGAGAAGUUAUGUCGGCCAAGGCACCAGAGAUUCAUUCUGCUACAGGUGCAUAG
rnacentral:rRNA from 1 species